rnacentral:lncRNA from 1 species
AUCAUAUUCGGGGGAAAAGCCGAUGAAGUUGUGGUUUCGACAAAUGGAACAUAUCUGUCAUCUUCUGUUGAACAGAUAUGUCAUAACGAUUCUCCAACUGGUAGUGGUGAGCGUGAGGGAUGAUUCCUACAGAACCACUAAAAAUGUUUUUUUCAUAGCUUCUUUGUAAGCAACAAUUCCCUAUCAAGAAAAUCAUGAUAGAUAAAGAAAGACAUACAAUAUCAACUGGGAGAUACUAUACAAAAUUUGGAAUAAAAUGUGGCAUAAAGUACCUUAUAUUUUUACAGCCAUUAGAACUAUCUUUAUAAUACGAUUUAAAUCAUGCAAUGUUUAAUCUUUUAUUUAUCAAAUAUUACAUUCUGUGG